UUUAAUACAUGUAAAAGUGAAUAAUAUGGCUGAAACUCUCAAGUUUACUUAUAAGUACAUCCACCUUUUUAUUUCUCUAUUUCUAUUUCUUGUUGUAGUCAAUGUUUAUGGAAAGAAAAAAGCUCACAAUUUUCAACGUAUACCGUGCCCUGAUCAUAAUAAAACUCUUUACUGCACUCUAAAAAAUUGUUACUGCGCUUAACAAUUAUAUUCAAAAUGGUUGUGGCAAGGCAACUUCGCUUGGGAAAGAGGAGUGUAGGGCUUAUGCCUAGUUAUAUAUAUAUUUUUCAGUUUUUUAGUAUUGUUAUUAGUUUUAAUUUGUAGUAUUACUAAGAAUUUAUUAUUGUUAUUUGUUUUACUUGAGUUUAGAAACUUGUUGUACCAUUAUUGUUAUUAUUUGUUUUUAAUAAACAAAAUUACGUUUUUAUGAUGUUAAAAUUAGUAAUAAACUUGUU